rnacentral:rRNA from 1 species
GACGAACGCUGGCGGCGUGCUUAACACAUGCAAGUCGAACGGAAAGGCCCUGCUUUUGUGGGUUGCUCGAUUGGCGAACGGGUGAGUAACACGUGAGUAACCUGCCCUUGACUUUGGGAUAACUUCAGGAAACUGGGGCGAAUAUCGGAUAGGAGCUCCUGCUGCAUGGUGGGGGUUGGAAAGUUUCGGCGGUUGGGGAUGGACUCGCGGCUUAUCAGCUUGUUGGUGGGGUAGUGGCUUACCAAGGCUUUGACGGGUAGCCGGCCUGAGAGGGUGACCGGCCACAUUGGGACUGAGAUACGGCCCAGACUCCUACGGGAGGCAGCAGUGGGGAAUAUUGCACAAUGGGCGGAAGCCUGAUGCAGCAACGCCGCGUGCGGGAUGACGGCCUUCGGGUUGUAAACCGCUUUCGCCUGUGACGAAGCGUGAGUGACGGUAAUGGGUAAAGAAGCACCGGCUAACUACGUG